rnacentral:rRNA from 1 species
CAUAGGUUAAUGAGGCGAACCGGGGGAACUGAAACAUCUAAGUACCCCGAGGAAAAGAAAUCAACCGAGAUUCCCCCAGUAGCGGCGAGCGAACGGGGAGCAGCCCAGAGCCUGAAUCAGUAUGUGUGUUAGUGGAAGCGUCUGGAAAGGCGCGCGAUACAGGGUGACAGCCCCGUACACAAAAAUGCACAUGCUGUGAGCUCGAUGAGUAGGGCGGGACACGUGGUAUCCUGUCUGAAUAUGGGGGGACCAUCCUCCAAGGCUAAAUACUCCUGACUGACCGAUAGUGAACCAGUACCGUGAGGGAAAGGCGAAAAGAACCCCGGCGAGGGGAGUGAAAAAGAACCUGAAACCGUGUACGUACAAGCAGUGGGAGCACGCUUAGGCGUGUGACUGCGUACCUUUUGUAUAAUGGGUCAGCGACUUAUAUUCUGUAGCAAGGUUAACCGAAUAGGGGAGCCGAAGGGAAACCGAGUCUUAACUGGGCGUUAAGUUGCAGGGUAUAGACCCGAAACCCGGUGAUCUAGCCAUGGGCAGGUUGAAGGUUGGGUAACACUAACUGGAGGACCGAACCGACUAAUGUUGAAAAAUUAGCGGAUGACUUGUGGCUGGGGGUGAAAGGCCAAUCAAACCGGGAGAUAGCUGGUUCUCCCCGAAAGCUAUUUAGGUAGCGCCUCGUGAAUUCAUCUCCGGGGGUAGAGCACUGUUUCGGCAAGGGGGUCAUCCCGACUUACCAACCCGAUGCAAACUGCGAAUACCGGAGAAUGUUAUCACGGGAGACACACGGCGGGUGCUAACGUCCGUCGUGAAGAGGGAAACAACCCAGACCGCCAGCUAAGGUCCCAAAGUCAUGGUUAAGUGGGAAACGAUGUGGGAAGGCCCAGACAGCCAGGAUGUUGGCUUAGAAGCAGCCAUCAUUUAAAGAAAGCGUAAUAGCUCACUGGUCGAGUCGGCCUGCGCGGAAGAUGUAACGGGGCUAAACCAUGCACCGAAGCUGCGGCAGCGACGCUGAUGCGUUGUUGGGUAGGGGAGCGUUCUGUAAGCCUGCGAAGGUGUGCUGUGAGGCAUGCUGGAGGUAUCAGAAGUGCGAAUGCUGACAUAAGUAACGAUAAAGCGGGUGAAAAGCCCGCUCGCCGGAAGACCAAGGGUUCCUGUCCAACGUUAAUCGGGGCAGGGUGAGUCGACCCCUAAGGCGAGGCCGAAAGGCGUAGUCGAUGGGAAACAGGUUAAUAUUCCUGUACUUGGUGUUACUGCGAAGGGGGGACGGAGAAGGCUAUGUUGGCCGGGCGACGGUUGUCCCGGUUUAAGCGUGUAGGCUGGUUUUCCAGGCAAAUCCGGAAAAUCAAGGCUGAGGCGUGAUGACGAGGCACUACGGUGCUGAAGCAACAAAUGCCCUGCUUCCAGGAAAAGCCUCUAAGCAUCAGGUAACAUCAAAUCGUACCCCAAACCGACACAGGUGGUCAGGUAGAGAAUACCAAGGCGCUUGAGAGAACUCGGGUGAAGGAACUAGGCAAAAUGGUGCCGUAACUUCGGGAGAAGGCACGCUGAUAUGUAGGUGAAGUCCCUCGCGGAUGGAGCUGAAAUCAGUCGAAGAUACCAGCUGGCUGCAACUGUUUAUUAAAAACACAGCACUGUGCAAACACGAAAGUGGACGUAUACGGUGUGACGCCUGCCCGGUGCCGGAAGGUUAAUUGAUGGGGUUAGCGCAAGCGAAGCUCUUGAUCGAAGCCCCGGUAAACGGCGGCCGUAACUAUAACGGUCCUAAGGUAGCGAAAUUCCUUGUCGGGUAAGUUCCGACCUGCACGAAUGGCGUAAUGAUGGCCAGGCUGUCUCCACCCGAGACUCAGUGAAAUUGAACUCGCUGUGAAGAUGCAGUGUACCCGCGGCAAGACGGAAAGACCCCGUGAACCUUUACUAUAGCUUGACACUGAACAUUGAGCCUUGAUG